rnacentral:rRNA from 1 species
GACGUAGGGUGCGAGCGUUGUCCGGAUUUAUUGGGCGUAAAGAGCUCGUAGGCGGCUCGUCGCGUCGACCGUGAAAACCCGCGGCUCAACCGCGGGCCUGCAGCCGGAUACGGGCAGGCUAGAGUUCGGUAGGGGAGACUGGAAUUCCUGGUGUAGCGGUGAAAUGCGCAGAUAUCAGGAGGAACACCGAUGGCGAAGGCAGGUCUCUGGGCCGAUACUGACGCUGAGGAGCGAAAGCGUGGGGAGCGAACAGG